UCGGUAGUGCAACGGUUCAGCACGCACUCUUGGAGAGAGUGAGGUCUAAGUUCGAAUCCCAGCGGAGGAA